rnacentral:other from 1 species
AAUGCCCUGCCUUGUUCGUUGAUUGGCAGAAAUCUCUAACCUACUAGUGCAUUAGGGAGCUUGAAUUUUGCCGCGGAGCGGAUGCCCUCCUGGGAACCCUGAAACGGCAGCUAGAGCGCCCACCUCAAUUUCGAGGUACAGAGAUGACUGUCUUUGCGGCAAUGGUGGGGCGUUU